CGGAGAAGAUAGGAGCCGACGAGAAGUUCAAAUGCCUGGAGGAGUACGGCGGGGACGUAGGUCCCACGUUCUGUAACCCUAAGUUCUUCCCCACGUUGUGUCGUCAAAACUGCAGGAGUUUCAAAGGUGCUAAAGGCGGUAAAUGCGAGAAGAAACACAAAAGCAAACCUAUCAAGUGUUUCUGCGACUACUGCAAAGACGAUUAGAUAUAUUUCAAGAAAUCAUACACCGCUUAUUAUUACUGUUUAAAACGCUAAACGCCAACCGCUCAACCCGCUAUAUAUUGCAAGCAAAAGACCCCUUUCCCCUAAGCGUUUUAUACUUUGAUAUAAGUUUAUGGUUGUAUGUGAUUCAUGUCAUAAUGUCCGUAGACGUAUAAGUAUUAUUAUCCCCUUAAUAAAAGCAUACAUGUAUAUGCUAAUUUAUGAUCCAAUGAUUCCGAACUCGUAUUAAAAACGCAUUUGGUUUAAUUUGAUCCAGAGUUCUUCAUUAAUUUUGCCAAAAUACAAACGAAUAUGCAGUCCUGCUUGGAUUUUUGGCACACUAUACUAUAACAUCUAUAAAUCAUACUCAAGCCUAUUAUCUUCUUUAUUUGGAUUAUAUUGAUAAAUGACAAUAUCUUGAUGGUAAUCUUUUUCAACGACAAAAGAUUUGGGAAGUUAAUAUUCUUCACUGAAAUGAAGUAGAAUGAGAUAUCAUAGAAUUUUGAAAUGGUAUUGCAGAUUAAAUUUUAGUUUGAUUCAUUUCUAAAUACUAAAAAUUUAUGAUGACUAUUUACACUGGAUAACAAGAAUAUAGUAAGCAUAAUUUGCAAAAUAACCAAGAGAAUAUAAAGCAAAUGAUGAGCUUCCUUUUAGUCCCAUACAAUUCCAGGACUUGGAGGCGUUUUAGAAUUUUGGCUGGACCAAACUUUCAAGAUGAGGAAAUAUAAUAAAUAACACAACUAGUAGUGGAUGAGAGACUACGAAUGAGAUUUUCAUGUGGAUAAUGUUUGAAUAAACUCUUUGUGAUAAUCACAUAUUAAAACAUUCACUUCCUCACAAAAAAUCUAUAACUCAGACAUCUCAUGGAAUUUAGAACAUUCAUCUCAAACUCUGAAAAAAUGAUGAGACUCUUGUAGUCUUGUGUUAUCAAACAUCAUCUUUCUUCAACUAUAGAAAACAAAUAGAAAGUUUGGGGGUCAAAUGGUGAAGGAACUGAAAAGCUUAGGCUUUUUUUACAACAAAUAAAAAUAGAAAUGAGACACCAUCACAUAAAAGCAUGUGUAUGUAUUUCAUAUUUUAAUCUGAACUUUAAUAAAGAGUUUCACUCUUCAUCUGACUCGAGCCCUGGUAUGUACUCUAAGCUCACAUCAAAUACAACUGGACUGUUUGGUGCAACUCGUGGCCUCCCCGGAGCUGAGACUAGACCCUUUGGAAACGCCAACUUAUGAUUCACAGAAUCAAAAUAAACAUAAAUUAGAAGCUUGGUUACCAAUAAAGUCCAUAGCAAUGAUGAUUACUAUAAUCUUGAUGAGAAAGGAACUUACAGGCCCUGGAAUGUAGAGUCUGCGUUUGCCACCAGCUUUCAUAGUCAAGAGUCCUUCAUCAAGUCCCUUGAUCACCUGGCCAGACCCAACUCGGAACAGAUAUGGUAGACCUUUCUCCAAAGAACUGCAAGUUAAAUGAAUGUCACCAUUUGAUGAUAGUAGAUUCAUUCAGUAUUAAAACAUACAAUCAACAUCAAAGUGUUUUGUUUUAUCUAAAUAUGUAUUCAGCAAGAUCACCUGUCAAAAAUCUGCCCUGAAGGAACCAUAGCUACAUAGUUUGCAGCAACCUGCAACAUUUGAACCGUUUUAUCUCAGCAACAAGCAGGACCGGUCCUGAGCAUAGGCCGGUGAAUCAUUAGCCUAUGACCCCCAAAAUUUUAAGAUAAAAUGUAUACUUCCUCUAUAUCAAUAUAAAUGAUUUUUAAGGGUUUUGCACAUAGAUUAAGAAAAUACAAAUUUUUCUACAAUUUACCUUGGUUAAACAAAAAUAUCAUUAAAUGAAACUAGUUUAACCAAUAAGAAAAAAGACUAUUUUGUAACUGGUCACAAAAUUCAAAUGCUAUUAAAUUAUAUCUAGAAUAGCGAGAACAUCGAUUAUUUUGCAACAAAUUUUUUUUCUUUAAACCCCAUUUAAAGUGACACGGAGGGAGUUUACUUUUAUCAAAUUGUUUAUAGCCUCCAAAAUUUUAAAAUUUCAAAAUUGUAUACGGAGGGAGUAUACUUUCUAUAGUAUACUUUUAGGCACUGGCAACAAGGUUGAGAAUAUGGUUUCAUGAAAGCUUGAUUCAGUUCCUUUACCUGAUAACCAACAGGGGGACUAGGGCCUUUACCAACUUUGAUAUCUUUAUACUGAAGCCCUGACUCUGUAGUUACCAUUGGAACCUUUAUUCAAUCAAAAACCAGCAAGAGAAUCCAAAGGCAGAGUCAAUUAACAAUGUCAUGAACUCAAAAAGAUUCUAUGGAAAAUCCAAAAGGUGGGUUUUGUGUUGUGAUCUCACCAUACAUUUUCAAGCUCUUUCUCGCAUUCAGCUUCACAAAGCCUCGGUUUAUCCUCUGGAGGCAAACCAGCGGCAUAAGCCGCAGGCAAGUAGUUCAUUGAGAGUCCUGACACGCCGAGAACCAAUAGCAUUGCGUCUCUACGGCUACAGCUUUUGUUUCUUGUUUCUGAAGCUAGGAUGACUCUUGUAGAUAUACAUCUUGGAGUCUUGAUGGUUGUACCGUUUCUAGAUGCUGAACCUAAAAUGCAUAACAAGAAUCUCAGAUUCUCAAAACCCAACACACGAGUAAACAUUACAAUUGCAUUUGUUGGUCGGUGCGCUGCAGCGCUGUGAGCUUGGGUCCCACGGGGCAGGUUGUUACAUAAAAGUCGACUUUUAUUAUGACAACCCGUCCCGUGGGACCCAGGCUCACAGCGCUGCAGCGCGUCGACCCCAACCCCUCCAUUAUGGGAACUACUUGCCCCAUAAUUAGGUUGUUGGGGAGAUUCGAACCCCCGACCUCACCCUUUAACAGCUUUCCAAAUUGCAGUAUAGUUUUUUGGUCCUAAUUGCUUUCAUGACUAAUCUCAUAGCCAUAUCUCACAAAGACAUAAAAAAAAGUAAUGGACAAACUCAUGAGCCGUAUAAAGUGGCUACAGUUUUGAAUAAUUGAUUGAAAAAAGCAAAAACCAAAACAGUGAAGGUUUCACUUUUACGUUGUGAAUAACUGAGAGUGUUGAAUUAUUGACAAAACGUUUGUUCCCCCGUUCUGCCCAUAUUUUUUCUCUGCGGAAGUCAAAAAUAUAGUAACAUUCAACUCUAUUAUAAAGUUAUUUUAUUUUAGAGAAAAAAAUAAAAAAAAAUAUUGGAAAUGAUCUAACCGUAUCUACUUCCAUAUGAAUCGAUAAAUGUAUGUGGACCAUGUAAUAAUAAUGUCCAACAUUUUCAUCGACCGUCAAUUUCAUCGACCGUCAACCACUGUCACUUUGUUUGUAUGUGUUGUAUCAUUGUAUCAUUUCAUGUAUGUUUGGGUUAUAAAUUUAUAACGAUCCAUUUGCUAAAAUAACCAUCUUCUUUUUAUGAAGUUUAGAGUGGUUUCUUUUUCUUUCAAGAUUAUGGUUAAUUACUACUAUUAUGUAUGUACGUGCCCUAAAUUUAGCAUUAAUCAUCUUUCUCAGCUUAUUCGUUGAUUUAACUCCCCUAAAGAUUAUUCAGAAUGUAAACAAUAUGCUAAAACCUUACUGUAGAUUAAGUCCUUAAUCUAGCCGGUUACUCUGGCGAAUUGUAGUCAACACUUGGCCUUUUUUUUUGAACGGCUGUCAACACUUAGCCUUUUUUUUGAACGGCUGUCAAAACUUAGCCUUAGAGAGAGAUUAAAUCAAGGACAUUUAUUCUUCAUUAAUUCGGAGUCUUUUACUUCUAUAUAUUUUUUUUUUUUGAAGAACUUCUAUAUAUUUGCUUCAAAGAGGUUCAUGAAGCUUGUAACCAAAAAAAUGUUUUGGUUUUUUCAAGUAGCAAUGUGUCUAAAUGAUAUCAUGGUUGAAUGGUUCUAAUAACUUAAAUAUUGAAUUGGCUAUAGAGUGGCACAUCUAUAUUCUUUUUGGUUGGUUGUUAGUUUUAUUAUUCGUUUUAAAUUACUGAACUUAUAAAUAAACAUAUGAUUUUUAAUUUAUAGAUAGCUAAAGGUAUCGAGCUUCAAAGUACCAUUAACAUCUUUUUAAACGAAAAAGUACCAUUAGCAACCAAAAUAUUGAACUAAAAAAAAAAUUAUACAUAUUUCUACGAUCGAUGGUGCAUACAAAAUUAAAGUAAUGGGCAAACUCAGGAGUUUGAAAUAUAAAGAUAGUGGAGCUUAAAAAAAUCACGUGAAAAAUGUCUGUAACUAUAAAGGCAAUCAUGAUAGUACUCUCAGUCUCUUCUUUUUCUGAUACGUCAUAAUAUGGAUGGACCGUUCGUGUCUCUAGAUAUUUUAUUUAACACAGUUAUAUUAUUAAAAAAAAAAGUGUAUGAAAAAGAGGUCCAAUCAUUUGCAUGUCACUAUAAAACAUCACUGGCAGAUACAUCUCCACACCACAAUAAACAGUAAACAAAGCAAAAUGAAGUCUGUUUACAUCUUCGUAGCAUUGUUCAUCUUCUUCCUCGCCGUUCUUGGUGGUAAGUACAUUAUUACGAAACUACCACUCUCACAAGUCACAAUUUAUAUAAGAUUAACUAUAAUUAACAUGCAGAGUCGCCGGAGAAGAUAGGAGCCGACGAGAAGUUCAAAUGCCUGGAGGAGUACGGCGGGGACGUAGGUCCCACGUUCUGUAACCCUAAGUUCUUCCCCACGUUGUGUCGUCAAAACUGCAGGAGUUUCAAAGGUGCUAAAGGCGGUAAAUGCGAGAAGAAACACAAAAGCAAACCUAUCAAGUGUUUCUGCGACUACUGCAAAGACGAUUAGAUAUAUUUCAAGAAAUCAUACACCGCUUAUUAUUACUGUUUAAAACGCUAAACGCCAACCGCUCAACCCGCUAUAUAUUGCAAGCAAAAGACCCCUUUCCCCUAAGCGUUUUAUACUUUGAUAUAAGUUUAUGGUUGUAUGUGAUUCAUGUCAUAAUGUCCGUAGACGUAUAAGUAUUAUUAUCCCCUUAAUAAAAGCAUACAUGUAUAUGCUAAUUUAUGAUCCAAUGAUUCC
rnacentral:lncRNA from 1 species